AUUCCACAUCUACUGGUCUUUACUUUUCAAUUGAAAUUUUUUCUCUCUCUCUUUCCUCUCUCCCUCUCCUCUCUCUACCCCCACACACCACCUUUCUCCCUCUCCUCUCUACCCACACCACCAGCCCACCGCCCCACCAACCCAGACCCUCAACCCACCACCUUCCGACCACCGCCAGUCCACCGUUGGCGGCGCAGCCCAUUAUUUUCAGGUGUUUUGGGCACUCGUGUAUGACAUCAGUGUGUAUGUCGCCUUUAAUUCAGUGGUAGGUUCACGUACAAUUUCUUCUAAACCUUUCUGUCCGACUGGUCUAUGAUGCGGCAUCUCAAACAGUUCUCAUUCUACACUUUUAUCUGCUUAACAAGUACCAUUCACUUUAGAUACUCCUGUCUACUCAACAAUCAGCUAGGGGCAGUUUUACAGGAGAUCAGGGUUUUGUGGAUUUGGAAUGACGAGGAACUGACUCAAACAAGUAAAAUCAUUUUGAAUAUUUUGACAAAUAGUGGCUGCUUAUUGUCCUAGAUCAGAAGCAGUCAAAUGUGGACAGGUGGUAUUGUCUCCUUGUUGAUGUCUUUUAGUUAGUUUCCUUGAAGUCUUAUUAACUUCCUGCUUUUCAACCACAACCCUUCAUGGUUUUCUAAUUGGUGGAAGAAAGUAGAUAAUGCUGUACAAGGUUCGCACCUCGACGUAUCGAGAGAUACUGAUCUGUCUAGGGUCAUAAAAGGGGUUGCAAGUGUCAUCAAGGAUGGUCAGGGUUCCAAGUUUUCAUGCCUGUUAUAUCUGGAUGAGUGGAAGCAACUCAGGCAAACAAUUGAGGAAGUAUGUGUUACUGCUAGAGACUAUGUUGAUGUUUGGGCAGAUGCAAGCAAGAAAAUGGGGAAGAGAAGAGUAUUCUCAGAGUUUCUGAAGCUCUUGGACACCGAACAUUGACCUUUUUGAUUAAUAUGCUUUUGGAUUCUAAUUCUGCUAUAUUUAAAUGGAUAUGUAUAUUAUGUUUAAGGGUUUGAAUGUAGUUUUAAUUUGAACUACAAGUACUUUUAAUUUUAAGAUGUUUAAGUGUUUGAACAUAGUUUAUGAUGUUUAAGUGUUUGAAUGGACAAUGUUUAAGUGUUCAAGUGUUUGAACAUUGUUUA